GACGACGCUGGCGGCAGGCCUAACACAUGCAAGUCGAGCGAUCGGCGGACGGGUGAUUAAUGUAUGGGUCUCUGCCCGAUUGAGGGGGAUUACUACUGGAAACGUUGGCUAAUACCGCAUACUAUCGGAUGAACCCAUUUUGGUUUUGCUAGUAGGUGGGGUAAAGGCUCACCUAGGCGACGAUCUCUAGCUGGUCUGAGAGGAUGAUCAGCCACACUGGGACUGCAACACGGCCCAGACUCCUACGGGAGGCAGCAGUGGGGAAUAUUGCGCAAAGGGCGAAAGCCUGAGGCAGCCAUGCCGCGUGUAUGAAGAAGGCCUUAGGGUUGUAAAGUACUUUCAGCGGGAAGGCGUUACCCGCAGAAGAAGCACCGGCUAACUCCGUGCCAGCAGCCGCGGUAAUUC
rnacentral:rRNA from 1 species